AUCUAGCUGACGAGUCUCAAAUAAGACGAAAUAUGUGUCCUCUAU
rnacentral:hammerhead_ribozyme from 1 species